GAUCCCAGUGACAUGUGACAAAUGUGCUGUGGCCUCCAGGAGCUGUUCUCCAAGGAGGCACUUAUUUCAUUUGACUCCAAGCAUCCAACCUCAACAGAUGGCAGAAUUCAGAUGGGUGGCGGUGGAACACCAGCUUUUUUCAGCGACUAUUUUGCAAUGUGAUACACAGACUCAACAUAGACACUUUCACGUGAAUAAAAGUGCUCUCUGUAGAAAUGGGGGGAAAAAAACCUGGUUGAUAGAAACUUAGACUUUUAGCUCAGACUCCCAGAUUUUCUGCAAUACACUCAUUCCACAAAGGGUGUCACCCUUGUGAGCACUUUUGGCUUAAAUGAAGGCUCAGUGUCUCUUUUUGGAGAGCAGACAACAUGUUAAGGACAUAAAUA
rnacentral:lncRNA from 1 species